rnacentral:rRNA from 1 species
GAUGAACGCUAGCGGCAGGCCUAACACAUGCAAGUCGAGGGAGGAGCCUUCGGGCUUCGACCGGCGUACGGGUGCGUAACGCGUAUACAAUCUGCCUUUCACAUAGGGAUAGCCCGAAGAAAUUUGGAUUAAUACCUAAUGGUAUAUAGAUGUGGCAUCACCUUUAUAUUAAAGCUGAGGCGGUGAAAGAUGAGUAUGCGUUCUAUUAGCUAGUUGGAGAGGUAACGGCUCCCCAAGGCGACGAUAGAUAGGGGUUCUGAGAGGGAUAUCCCCCACACUGGUACUGAGUUACGGACCAGACUCCUACGGGAGGCAGCAGUGAGGAAUAUUGGACAAUGGUCGGAAGACUGAUCCAGCCAUGCCGCGUGCAGGAAGACGGCCUUAUGGGUUGUAAACUGCUUUUGCAGGGGAAGAAUAAGGACUACGCGUAGUUUGAUGACGGUACUCUGCGAAUAAGCAUCGGCUAACUCCGCG